AGAGACAGCAGCCCCGCGGUAAUACAGAGGGUGCGAGCGUUAAUCGGAUUUACUGGGCGUAAAGCGUGCGUAGGCGGCUUCUUAAGUCGGAUGUGAAAUCCCUGAGCUUAACUUAGGAAUUGCAUUCGAUACUGGGAAGCUAGAGUAUGGGAGAGGAUGGUAGAAUUCCAGGUGUAGCGGUGAAAUGCGUAGAGAUCUGGAGGAAUACCGAUGGCGAAGGCAGCCAUCUGGCCUAAUACUGACGCUGAGGUACGAAAGCAUGGGGAGCAAACAGGAUUAGAUACCCGCGUAGUCCCUGUCUCUUAUACA
rnacentral:rRNA from 1 species